GAGGGUGGAGCUCAGUGGCAGAGCGUGUGCUUAGCAUGCACGAGGUCCUGGGUUCAACCCCCAGUACCUCCA
rnacentral:tRNA from 1 species